UGCAACAGAACUCUGCAGGAAAGAGAGGAAUUUCUCCAGCACUCUUUUCAAAGUCAAAUAAUGGAUAUUCCUACUGGAUUUCUCUAGCUUUCAACCAAAGUGUUCCAUGAUGACACACUACCGUUCAAAAGUUUGGGGUGUCACUGCUACAAAGGAAGCAGAUGUAAAGACAGCCUGCAGAAACAUUUCUUCACCUCAGACAGACACAUACUGCUGGGCAGAAGUAGGACAUAUCAGGUUCUGGGCAAGCCUUCACAAAUCACCGCAGCUUGGGUGCUUUCACAACCACAAAGCACCUCGGUAAAGUGUGAACGUGAUUUGUUCAGACACCCUGUGGCUGGACAUGACUUCAGCUUUCACUUCUCCAACAGGACCGUGUGAUCUGUGCUGCUGCCACAGGGUCAUUGCAAGAUAUGUGUUUUCACAAAAAACUUUCCUUCCAUUUCUUGAAAAGUGGAGCACAACUCCAUGAAGCCAUUAGCAUAAAUACAUAUGGAGAUAUACCGACGAG